rnacentral:rRNA from 1 species
UACGUAGGGCGCAAGCGUUGUCCGGAAUUAUUGGGCGUAAAGAGCUCGUAGGCGGUUUGUCGCGUCUGCUGUGAAAGUCCGAGGCUCAACCUCGGAUCUGCAGUGGGUACGGGCAGACUAGAGUGUGGUAGGGGAGACUGGAAUUCCUGGUGUAGCGGUGGAAUGCGCAGAUAUCAGGAGGAACACCAAUGGCGAAGGCAGGUCUCUGGGCCACAACUGACGCUGGAGGAGCGAAAGCAUGGGGAGCGAACAGG